GUGCUUCAUGGCGCUGUGGAAUCCCUCGUUCUGGGUCCAGAUUUCACUGGGCUGCUUUCCAAUUCCUCGCCCCUCCAGCCCUUCCCCUACAGACAGCCUUGGAAAUCUAGAGGAAAGGGGCGCCAAGAAAGGAGAGGAGAGAAAGUGAAGGAUGAGAAGGUGUAUGUAGAGCGAACAGACGUCAAGAAGAUGGUGAUGCGUCUCCCCAUCGUUUUCACCGGGAUUUCAUCCUAGCUCCGGGAAGGAUCUCGGCGUAGGAGUUACUGGAACAAAUCACCACCACCUGGAUGGCUUAGGUCAACAGAAAUGUAUUCUCCCACAGCUUUGGAAGCUUGAAGUCUGAAGUCCAGAUGUUGGCAGGGCCACCCUCCUCCAGAGGCUCCAAGGAAGAAUACUGCCUUGUCUCUUCCAGCUUCCACUGGUUCUGGCAUUCCUGGGCCCAGUCACUGCCCCCAUCGUCACGUGCUGUUUUCCUCUCAUAUUGGAUCUUAAUUUCCUGACCAGAGGUUGAACCCACAUCCCCUGCAUUGGAAGUUCGGACUCUUAACCACUGGACCAUCAGGGAAAUCCUAGGUGGCUGAGAUGGGGCCUGAUGACUCACGUGUGCUUGAUCACUGCUCCAUAAAAGUUUACUGAAUCAAUGGAUGAGUGAACGAGUGAAUGAGAAGGAGAGGAGGCCAAGAGAUACAGAGAUGGCAAGAAGCUUGCUGGCAUUGGUUCUGCUCUUUGACAGUGUCUUCAAGAACACAAAACUCUUUCCAUUCUACCAUCCUUAGUGUGCUGGGAUACAACCACAUGCUUGUUACUUCACGCAUGCAAAUAGCAGACACUGAAUCCUUCAUCAGGAAAAGAAGAGAUUCUUAUCAGAAGACAUGAAGCUUUCCAAGAACUAUGUGCCCUGGGUACCUCCAGCUACAAGAGAGAUUGGAGAAAUAUGUGUUUAGACUUUUGGCAUUUAAAAUGGAAGAGAGAGGAGAUUUGAGUUUGUGAACAAAUAAAACAGCCUCCAUAUGGUUCUCUGAUAGCUGGUAUGGUAGAAAAGGUACAGAAGACUCCCAAGAUGUAAAACAAUAAUCUAAGCAUUUUACAGAUGUCAUUUAAUUUGAUCCUCACAACAACUCUGACAUACGUCAAAAGUAUUAUCCUUUCUUUUUUAGUAACGAAAACUAGAUCUUACGGAGAUAAAUUGAUUUACCCAAAUUAUAUGGGAAUACUCUUGUUGUCCCGCCUUCAUCAUCUCCAAAUAACUACCUUAUGGCCAUGUAGGUCCCCUUCUAUGUAACUUACCAUACUUAGUGAUAUUUCACUCAAUGAAGGCAGAGUGUGCAAGAGGAUGGAGUCAGAGGUCAUUUCUUAGUUUCUGACUUGAGAAGUCAAAAUGUGCAUAUGCAUGCAUGCUCAGUUGCUCAGUCGUGUCCAACUCUUUUGUGAGCUCAUGUUCUAUA